rnacentral:rRNA from 1 species
AGCAGCCGCGGUAAUUCCAGCUCCAAUAGCGUAUAUUAAAGUUGUUGCAGUUAAAAAGCUCGUAGUUGAAUUUCGGGGUUAGUAGGCUGGUCGUGCCACAGGUAUGUACUGGUCUUACUGAUUCCUCCUUCCUGAUGAACCGUAAUGCCAUUAAUUUGGUGUUGCAGGGAAACUGGACUGUUACUUUGAAAAAAUUAGAGUGUUUAAAGCAGGCUAACGCUUGAAUACUUUAACAUGGAAUAAUAAAAUAAGACGUGCGGCCCUAUUUUGUUGGUUUCUAAGACCGCCGUAAUGAUUAAUAGGGACAGUCGGGGGCAUCAGUAUUCAAUUGUCAGAGGUGAAAUUCUUGGAUUUAUUGAACACUAACUACUGCAAAAGCAUUUGCCAAGGAUGUUUUCAUUAAUCAGUGAACGAAAGUUAGGGGAUCGAAGACGAUCAGAUACCGUCAUACUCUUAACCAUAAACUAUGCCGACUAGGGAUCGGAUGAUGUUAAUUUUUUAAUGAC